GGAGUAUUGGUGUAGGGGUUCAAGCAUAGAAGUUUCUCAAGCUUCAGACAUUGGUUCAAAUCCAAUAUACUUCAC
rnacentral:tRNA from 1 species